rnacentral:rRNA from 1 species
CUGGGGGGCCUAACCAUGCAAGUCGAGCGGAUGAAGGGAGCUUGCGUCCUGGAUUCGGCGGCGGACGGGUGAGUAAUGCCUAGGAAUCUGCCUGAUAGUGGGGGAUAACGUCCGGAAACGGGCGCUAAUACCGCAUACGUCCUGAGGGAGAAAGUGGGGGAUCUUCGGACCUCACGCUAUCAGAUGAGCCUAGGUCGGAUUAACUAGUUGGUGGGGUAAAGGCCUACCAAGGCGACGAUCCGUAACUGGUCUGAGAGGAUGAUCAAUCACACUGGAACUGAGACACGGUCCAGACUCCUACGGGAGGCAGCAGUGGGGAAUAUUGGACAAUGGGCGAAAGCCUGAUCCAGCCAUGCCGCGUGUGUGAAGAAGGUCUUCGGAUUGUAAAGCACUUUAAUUUGGGAGGAAGGGCAGUAAGUUAAUACCUUGCUGUUUUGACGUUACCAACAGAAUAAGCACCGGCUAACUUCGUGCCAGCAGCCGCGGUAAUACAAAGGGUGCAAGCGUUAAUCGGAAUUACUGGGCGUAAAGCGCGCGUAGGUGGUUCAUCAAGUUGGAUGUGAAAUCCCCGGGCUCAACCUGGGAACUGCAUCCAAAACUACUGAGCUAGAGUACGGUAGAGGGUGGUGGAAUUUCCUGUGUAGCGGUGAAAUGCGUAGAUAUAGGAAGGAACACCAGUGGCGAAGGCGACCACCUGGACUGAUACUGACACUGAGGUGCGAAAGCGUGGGGAGCAAACAGGAUUAGAUACCCUGGUAGUCCACGCCGUAAACGAUGUCGACUAGCCGUUGGGAUCCUUGAUAUCUUAGUGGCGCAGCUAACGCGAUAAGUCGACCGCCUGGGGAGUACGGCCGCAAGGUUAAUACUCAAAUGAAUUGACGGGGGCCCGCACAAGCGGUGGAGCAUGUGGUUUAUUUCUAAGCAACGCGAAGAACCUUACCUGGCCUUGACAUGCUGAGAACUAUCCACAGAUGGAUUGGUGCCUUCGGGAACUCAGACACAGGUGCUGCAUGGCUGUCGUCACCUCCUGUCGUGAAAUGUUGGGUUAAUUCCCGUUACCAACCGCCACCCCUUGUUCUUGUUACCCACCCGGGGGGGCCCCUCCAAGGAAAAUGCCGGGUGCAAACCCGGAAGGAAAGGGGGGGGGAACUCAAACCUCCCUGGGCCCCCUUCCCGCCCGGGCGCCCCCCCCCUGCUUAAAAGGGGUUGUAAAAAAAAGGGUUGCCCACCCCCCCCGGGGGGGGGAGACAAAACCCAAAAAAAAAAAAUAUUUCCCCAAUCCUUUCCCCCCCCCCCCCC